GCUCACAAUGAGUGGCUUUCACUAGUGCCAAGAUAGCACAGAUAAUUUCGCCAAUGUCAUGUAGUAUGGAGUAGACACAAAGGAAAUUG